rnacentral:lncRNA from 12 species
ACAUUAUCAUAUUAUAUUAUUAUACUAAACUAAAUUAUUUGCAAAUACAUGAUUAAACGAAUAAUUUUAUUAUUAUAUUUGGACAAAUAUUUGUUUAGAAUAAUACUAGUAUUUUCACUAGUAUUUUGGACCUCUCUGUAUACCAAACAUAAUGUUUGUGCAUUGAAUUGAUGCACUGAAGAUUUAUAGUGCUGUGUUCUGCUUUAACACAGUUCUGUUGAUGAUGCUUUAUGCAUGAAUGUAUUAAUAUCCUAGAAACUGAGCGUUAGUAUCUAAAGUAUGUGGAAAUGACAACACUUUUGCAGUCCCAUUUGUAUGUAAGGACAGAUGGCAGAGGGUCCUUUGCCUAAGACAAAAGCAGCGAGAAAGUGAAGAGGAAGAUGAGAGCGGAGGGUUAGUGAUGGAGGAGAGGUGGGGCUCACAGGGCUGAUGCACAGGAGCCGUGGCAGGAGGAGGAGUGUGUGGAGAGGGAAAGAGAGAGAGAAGUGUCGUCCUACCAGCUCAGAGUCCCUGUUACUGCAGAUAGAUUGCUGACAGCUUGGCGAGAGGAGGGAGACGGCAAUCAUGCACAUUUUACAGCCCCAUUAUGUCAACAGGUGGCCGAAUGGAGUGAAGAGAAAAAGAAAGAAUAGUCAAUGCUCUAUGAAGAGCACGUCUGGUAAGCAUUUUGGAUCUGGUUUCACUGCAGUCUAAACCAAAACAUUUUGGGCCUGUGAUGCCCAAACAUGCCCUUUCUGUGCUUCGAGACAAGUAGAUUUUUGGUUAAUAACAGUAAUUUCUGUAUUUUUGAGGACAUAUUUUUUGGUUCCCAUGAGGAAAACAGUUUAGAAAUCAUACAAAAAGACGUUUCUUGAAAAUCAAAAAAUGCAGAAUGUUUGGUGUGUUGGUUAGGUUUAUGGUUAGGGUUAGGGUAAGGGGAUAGAAAGUAGAAAGUUUAGACA